UAAGUACAUUUUUCAAGUAUCUGUACUUUACUGGAGUAGUUUUAUUUUUAGUAACUUUUACUUUUACUUCACUACAUUCCAAAGCAUAAGAUCGUACUUUUUACUUAACUACAUUUCAUAAAACAUAUCGUUACUCCUUAUAAUAGGCUAUAUCACGUGCUCUGACACGCAUAAGCGGUGUCUGAUUCAAGAACGAACUGAUUCUUUUCAAUGAAGCUUUUAAAUCGGUUAGCAAAUUGCACCAAAAGAUUCAUUCACGAAUUAGAAUGAUUCGAUUGCAGCUGUUCUAGAGUCAACAACUCACUGAUUCAAAUGAACCGUUUAGUGCGAACCGUUUAGUCUCUAGCGAAAUCAAUUCACAACCGGGAGAUCUUGUGAGCGCGCGUGCGACCGAUGCUGCUAAAAGUAAGGUACUAAUGUCGAAUUUUAGGAUUAAUUAUUGUAACUGAAAAUGAUAUUUAUGUCAAAACUGUCAUUUAUUUGGGAACUUAAUCUGCUGUAAAGGGUGAUCUAUUUAAGCCCACUGAAAUGCUUGAAUGCAAACACAUCAGCAUCAGUGCCUCUUACGUCAAAAAACAAAACAUUAAAAUAACACAGAUUAAAUAAAAUAAUUAAUGCACGUUCAAAUUCCCCGCUGCCAUAGCAUUAACAGUUCUAUUAAAAUGCUAGGCAUUUAGCCCUAUGUGACGUCUGUUUUUAUAUUGUUUAUCAACAGUAUAAAUGUUUAUAUUGUUUGAAUUAACUAGCCGAGUAGACAGAUAUGAAUGUUUAUUCAUAACCAUACUGAAAAUAAGUAAAUAUUGGUAGCUGAUGCUAACUGUCUAGCUAACAAGCUUGGUGCUAAGUUGAGGUAAUUUUUAAAAAUAAAGUCCAAAUAUUUUUAUUCAGUCACCUAGAUAGAUUACAUCUGAGGGAAAAGAAAGGCUGUGAUGUUCAGAACAUGGUAACUGCAGUAAUUAUCAAAGUGGGAAGUGAUGUCCUCUGGGGGCAUUUGGCCAGGGUUUUUUUUUAUAUAUAUAUACCACAGACAAGGUUUGAGAAGUGUUCUUCCUAACUUCAGGCCUUAUUCUCAUGUCAUAUAUAAUGGUGAUGUUCUGCAAAACAACACAUUUUAAAACACUUUUUUUCUUACUGGUGAAAAUCUGAUUGUCAAAUGUGACCCUGGAGCACAAAACGAGUCUUAAGUCUCUGGGGUAUAUUUGUAGCAAAAGCCAAAAAUACAUUGUAUGGGUCAAAAUGAUAAAUUUUUCUUUUAUGGCAAAAAUUAUUAGGAUAUUAAGUAAAGAUUAUGUUCCAUGAAGAUAUUUUGUAAAUUUUCUACCGUAAAUAUAUCAAAACUUAAUUUUUGAUUAGUAACAUGCAUUGCUAAGAACUUCAUUUAGACAAAUUUAAAAGUGAUUUUCUCAAUGUUUAGAUUUUUUUGCUCCCUCAGAUUCCAGAUUUUCAAAUAGUUGUAUCUCAGCCAAAUAUCAUCCUUUUCUAGCAGCUUAUUUAUUCAGCUUUUGGAUGAUGCAUAAAUCUCAAUUCGAAAAACUGACCCUUAUGACUGGUUUUGUGGUCCAGGGUCACAAAUCUGUUUUCUCUCAGGUACAUCCCAGUGUAUCGUCACAGUAAACAUUACUACAUCACUCUCAUCAGCAUAGUCCAUAUCAACAACAAAAAUAUAUUUUGAGAAAAUUCCAGGUAUUUUGAGCAGUAGGAUUAUAAAAAAAAGUAUAUGCUACUAUAAAAUUAAAUUAAGUAGCCUAUAUAAAAUUGCUAAAUAAAUCUAUCUAUCACUACUUUUUUACUUAAGUA
ensembl:lncRNA